rnacentral:rRNA from 1 species
GACGAACGCUGGCGGCGUGCUUAACACAUGCAAGUCGAGCGAAGCACUUUACUUGGAUUUCUUCGGAAUGACGAGUAUUGUGACUGAGCGGCGGACGGGUGAGUAACGCGUGGGUAACCUGCCUCAUACAGGGGGAUAACAGUUAGAAAUGACUGCUAAUACCGCAUAAGACCACAGCACCGCAUGGUGCAGGGGUAAAAACUCCGGUGGUAUGAGAUGGACCCGCGUCUGAUUAGCUGGUUGGUGGGGUAACGGCCUACCAAGGCAACGAUCAGUAGACGGCCUGAGAGGGCGACCGGCCACAUUGGGACUGAGACGCGGCCCAAACUCCUACGGGAGGCAGCAGUGGGGAAUAUUGCACAAUGGGGGAAACCCUGAUGCAGCGACGCCGCGUGAAGGAAGAAGUAUUUCGGUAUGUAAACUUCUAUCAGCAGGGAAGAAAAUGACGGUACCUGACUAAGAAGCCCCGGCUAACUACGUGCCAGCCGCCGCCGUAAGAC